CAAUUUCUUAUGCUAUAAAAUAAUUCUUUCGUGGAAAUAAAAAUUAGCAUCUUAAUUUACAAAUACGUGACUUUGAGUUUAAUAAAGGAGACGCUUGUAUAGGUAUAUAUAAAUGAUUUACAAUCUUCGUUUUGGAAUAAAUAAAGGAUAGAAGUUUGCGGUUUUAGUUAGCAUCUUCCGUACCAUAUAUAUUGUUUUCAAGUUAAACGAAAUUAAGCUUCAAGGACGAUUUACAGAAAGAGAAAGUAAAAAAGGAAAACAAAGUAAAGGAAUCGGUAAAAUAAGGUACCAAUGUCGAGGAUAACGAUUGUUUAUCUUUCGAUUGUUAAACAGCUCCGACAAUGCAAACAAUUAACUUUUUUCGGCCAAGCUCUGAAAAAACAGAUGUUCGAUGAAAAGGCUAAAGUUGAGAUUCUUGGUUUUAUUCUUUUCAGGAAAUUUAUAGCGCGUUUCGCGAUGCUUCUUCACAACACGCAUUCUUAAAUGUCUCUUGACAAUGAUAUGUUUCUCAUUGCUGUUCCGAACGGGUGCGAAAAAAAGAAUACGCAGUCGCUUAACAAAUAUUUACACUUUAAUCGUCCUUCUUCAUUCCAGUCACAAUCACAAUAUUAUCUUUCCAAAAAAAAAAAAAAAAAAAAAAGAAAAAAAAAGAGGAAUCGUACACUGUUCUCACAUAGUUCACACCGUCUCCCAUACAUACGUAUCUCUUAUUUAUUUUAAACCAUUCGCAAUCAAAGAACGAAUCAUUCUUAUCAACAAAUGUAACUAUUUUGUUAUAUUGUUACGAAGCAAAUGUAUAAAUCAUUUAGGAUUCAUUCAAGUCGAAGCGUUAUUUCGCUUGUUCGAAACGAAACCGUGGUAAUUUAUUUCGUGUAUUUUGACGGAAUAUUCCAUUGUUGUGAUGUAGCAAACACGUCGGUCUAUUCUAUCAUGCGAAUGGCUUAAAACGGACAGAUGUUCCAUGAUCAUUCCAAUAUUUUGUCUCUCGAGUCGAAAAGCUUCGUAUCGCAUUUGCGACGUCAAGGAAAAAUUGUUUUGCAAUCCUUGUAAAACAGAUAACGGCUCGCUAAUUUCUCGGCUGUAUAACAGAGGAGAAAAAGAGAGUGUGGGAGAGAGAAAGAGAAAGAGAAAGUAUGAAAUCGCGGAAGCAAAUGUCCGCAAUCUUCUGGAACAAAAUUACGUAACGUGUGACCUUUGUAUCUGAUGGAACCGCGAUCGUCGCGGGAUCGUUCGCCAAAACAGAGGCGUAACCAUGUCACUGCGUACACUAGAAGGCACGAUCGAACUUUCUUCGUGAGAUUUUCAUGCGAAUGCUCUCUUUCUCUUUCUCUCUCUCUCUCUCUCUCUGAAGAAUUGGCAUCGACGUGAUAUAAUGGUUCAGAGAACGUUCGCGACGAACGCAAGAUCUCUUCGAUUUGGACUUCGUACAUACGUUUCAAAUACGCCGCACGAAAUAAUCGUAGGCUGAUUCCACGUGGAAUUUUAUUUUAUUUUAUUGCUGUUUAUUAAGGCGUUCAGUGGCGCGCGAGCUAACAACGAAAUAUGAUCAACAUUGAAGAUAAAACUUUCUCUCGGCAAACAAGACACCUUUUAAUCAGUUUUUCGAAUUAGCUACGAUGACUCACGAAACCAUACAGGUAUUUAAACAUUUAUCACGUGUGUUAUACAAGAUAUGUAUUUUGAAAUUUCAUUAACACCGUAAACAUUUCAGCUGUGUGCUUGCAGUUUUCUAUAUACUUUAGCAUUUAUUUCAGGCUUUAUCAACAAAGUCAUAAUAGUCGUGUCUCGUUACCGUGUCGAUGAAGUUUCAAAAAGUAUAAUAUACUUAUAAUGCGUGUAAUACAUUAUCCAUCAAAGUUUUCCGUACGAAGUGUUCAAAGGCUUUCCUGAAUCACUGUACGUUUAAAAAGCAAAAAUUCGGUACACUGUGAUUUUAAUGAAAUAUUCUAAUGUAGGUAUUUAACUUUCUCCUAACGUUCUGUCGAAACUUUCAAUUUUCCCGCAACACGAAGCGUGUUAAAAUCGCACGAAAUCAUCUAAAAAGCCUAUGUAUAUAUUCUAUUAAAACAACACUGUUCUUCUGUGUAGUACACGUGUUUACAUUUUUAUCGGUAACACGUAUGCGAAUCAAUCGAAGCUUUCAAAAUCUCAAUUCCAAACACUUCCAGCAGAAAUGAAUAAUUGUUAAUAUCUUCCAGUUUGCGGGGUUUGCGCGAUCGUGUUAUGUGAAAACCGCGGUAAAGAACACGGAAAUCGUUAUAAGGCUGUAAUUACGUUCGCGUUGGAUGCUUGAAUAUGUCAUCGUUAAUGGUUGGUCGUUACAUAGUCUAACGAACAACUAAUUACAAUUCUUACGGUCUAAAUUUGUCCGAAAUUAGCUUAGCAUCGAUAUCUAGUUAGCUACGAAUCGAGAAAUUCUCUGAAUUUUUGCACGCUCAGAUUACAGAAAAUCGUGUAUCGACAAGUAUAUCCAUUUAGGCAUUAUCGGCGUCAUGUUAUAGUAAGGGCAGUAAAAUAUUGCUUUUUCGAUCUAUAUCGCGUGGCACACGACUGUUAUUGCAUUUUUCUCAUCGUCCUUGAUCAUUCUUCCGCAAGCUCUGUUAUAUAUAUUUCAUCGAUUUUAAUUGUUGACCUUAAAACUGGUUUUCCUAGCUGAUUUAUAAUUUAGGAUACAACACAAAAAAACGCGAUAUACCGGGUAUGAAAAAUACAUCUCGCAUCUCUUUAAUCUCAUUUUUCGUUACUUUUCUCUCGAUGGAACGAAGCUUCCUUAACAUUGCGUGAAUGGUAUUGCCGCAUUGUAAAGUUGAUACAAUCAAAAGCAUAGAACGGUGCUGACACAUAGAAGAUGUAUUAAAUAAAAACUCACUAAUCGUAAAUAUCGAUAAAUUGUCUGUGCAAAAUACAAUUCUCAUCGAUCCUUCGCAUUCCAGCAUUCUCUAUGUAUUACGAAGGAAAAGAAAUCAUCAGAGAUCGUUCAUCACGAAAAAAUCAUUGUUCCAUCGGUUGUUUUUCGUAGCGAGAGAACAGAACGCAAAAUGAUCGGGAGCACAAAGAAAAAGGCACGUUGUAGAAACUUUGGCAGUGCGUCGAACGAACGUUCCGUCGUUUCCAACAUGCUGAGUAGAUUGACUAGCGCUGAUUUUCGACGAUAACAGGAAAGGUGAUUUUUAAAAGAUGGGAGCAUGGAGGCAAAAAUAUAAGAAAAAAAACGAACAAAAUACUUUGAAACGUAUUGUACUUAACAAUAUACUUGAAACUAAAAAAAAAAUUGACUGGGCAGUGUGAACAUAAACGUUGGACUACCAAAGAAUUAACCUUCGUAUCUUCGUCAAACUUACCCUAACAAUACUUGAAUUAUAUCUCAGAAUUAACAAAAGUCUUAAAUUCCACGUCGAAAAUAGCUUUAUAUAAUCACUUUACAUAAGCAUGAUUGUAUAAAUUAGAGGACAGAAGGUUAAAUCUUUUUUUCAGCACCAAUCAAACCUCCGUUAUUCGUACAAUUAUUCAUACAAUUAAACGAUUUGUCUUUACGUCUCUCUCUCUCUCUCUCUCUCUCCCUCUCCAACGUUUCUUAGUUGCGCAAUCUUCUUCAAUUCACGCAAUUUCUUUCCUUUCUUUUUGUCAUUAUUAUUCUUUUCUCGCCUAUAUCGUCUAACGCUUAACGAGUAGAAAGAUAAUCGUUUUGAUCGAUGAUUCUUCGAGACAAAAGUAUCUGACCGAUGUGACCACUUCGAUUCUCGCCAUCGGACACUGUUAACGUCGCGUGUGUAUACGUGGACUGCACUAUACUAACAGAUGCAGUCAUCGACGAAGUUAAUCGAUGAGUACGUUGCCAUCGAUCGAGCUCCAAACGAAUUACGAUUCCACGACGCGAAUAUAAUGUGCGUAAUGUGUGUCUUACUAUAUACAUAUGUACAUGUGUGUAUAAACGGUGACCUCAAGAAAAGUGUCUCUCCCGAAACACGACUGAUGAUUCAAGAAAGAAAACGAUCGGUAUAUAUUCGGUACGACCUCCUUCUAUUCAUCGAUCAUCCGAGGUUAAGCUUACGUAAUCGAGCAGCUUCUACACACACAUUAUUUGGACGUCAUUCAAACGGUACAAAUGAAAAAUAAAUCAAUUGUUCUCGGUAUACAAAAAGAUGCAUGAAAAUAUAACAAAAUUAAUCGAUCGUGAACGAAUCCCCGUGAUGAUCCCCGUGAUGAUCCCCGUUGUACUUCUGCAAGUAAUGGCUGAGAAAAUCGGAGGAACAUUCUUCAUACAGGAUGCACAGGUACUUUGCCUCUCGAUGCGCUUAAAUAAAUAUUAUGCUAUUUACAAAGCGAUGAAUAAUAUUGCUUUUCAUACCACGUGACUUUCUAGCAUGAAAACGGUACCAUGAGCGUAAUGAAACGAUCCUUAUGAAUAUAUCGAGCUCCAAUGACGAUUAACGGAUUCGCACGUCUUAAGAAAGUUCUUCUUCAAAAUGUUUUGAAUAAAUGUUCGAAUAUCGCAACGAAAAAAUGUCGGAUGAUAUAUGUACAAGAAGUUGAGAUCGAUGUACCGAUACGAGGUCGAAAACGUUUUUCUGAUAUUUUGGCGCGAGUCAUAAUAUACAUAAAUUAAACGGUAAAAAAAAAAAAAAGAA